AAUAAAAUUUUUUAUGGUUUAAAAAAUUUAUUAUAAAUUUAUUUUACAUAUAAAUUUUAGUAUGAAAUUUUAAUUAUUUUAAAAAUAAUUAAUUAAAUAUUUAUAGUAAAUAAUAUUAAAAAUUAAGAAAUUAAGAUUUAGUAAUUAAAAAAUUAAUAACAAAUUUUGUGCCAGCAGUUGCGGUUAAACAAGAAUUAAAAUAAAUUUUAUUAGUUAUUUAUAAUCAAUAAUAAAUUUAAUUAAAAUAUUAAAUUGUUGAGUGAAAUUUCAAUUUAAUUAAAAAUUUAAUUAAGAUUGAGAUUAAAAAAAUUAUAUAAUAAACUAGGAUUAGAUACCCUAUUAUUAAUAAUUUAAAUUUAAAAUGCUAGAAUAGUAAUUAAUUAUUUAUUGAAACUUAAAUAAUUUGGCGGUAUUUUAGUUCAUUUAGAGGAAUCUGUCUAAUAAUUGAUAAUCCACGAAUAAAUUUACUUAAUUUAAAAUUUUGUAUAUCGUUGUUAAAAAAAUAUUUUUUAAUAAAAAUAAUAUUUUAAAAUUGAAAAUAUAAAUUAAAUCAGAUCAAGAUGCAGAUUAUAAUUAAGAAUAUGAUGGAUUACAAUAAAUUUAUUUAAAUGAAAAUUAAUUUGUAAAAAUUAUUUGAAGGUGGAUUUAAAUGUAAUUUUAUUUAAUUUAAUAAAAUGAUUAAAAAUUAAAAUAUGUACAUAUUGCCCGUCGCUUUCAUAGAUAAAUUGGAAUAAGUCGUAACAAAGUAGAGGUACUGGAAAGUGUUUCUAGAAAGAA